CGCCGCGGUCGACGCCUAUGCGCCAGGACUGCGGGGAUAAGCAGGUACUGGGGGUAAGCGUUGAGAAACCUGCAACGGCGGCGAAGCAAGCACCGUGACGUGAAAGGCUUGCGGGU
rnacentral:ncRNA from 1 species